ensembl:lncRNA
GUGGGAGACGUUUUAGGGAGGGGAGACAUCUUAUCAUGCUGUGUGUGGUUGUGUAUUUCCCAUGACAGCUCUCCAGCACAGAACUCCCACGUGUAUAUCAUAUGUUUGCAUAUAUACCAUAAAAAUAAAAUACCCACAAAACUCUCAGAAUGAAAAGCAAACACAUAUACUGAGCAGGUGGAUUUUUAGAGUGUGCAACCUUUUUUAGGGGAAAAAAUUAUGAAAGCAUUUUCAGUGUCAAGUCUCACCACAAGGCAUGCUCUUGAAGCUGGAAGAGAGGCAUCCAGAAAUACGAGUUUGUCAUGGAAACGCUGACAGGGCUUCAGCUGAGGGAUGCUCACAGGUGCAGCCCAGAAUGGCGCAGCCUCUUGCCGCUUAUUUACAUCCCGGCCCACUGAAUGAAUUCUCUUUUCCUGUUUCCUGGCCCCUGGAAACUCAGCUGGCCUUCCGGGGACCUGAGGGUUUCUAUCAGGAAGGUCUCUGGUGGUGGUUUUCAGAUUUCUGGGGCAGGAAAUAGAGGGGGGGGUCUUAGGAUCAGUUUCAUUUCUGGAAGAAGAGCUCCUGGAGGGAGUACUGAAAGGAAUGAGGGGAGGAGGGAAGGAAUGAACGAAGGAAGGGAGCAAGGGAGGGAAACGCUGAUUCUAAGUGUCAGGCGAUCAGAGCUGACUCCUCUCCCUUUUCCCUUGGAGGUGUUGAUAGUAACAGCAGAGACGAGCUGCCAAGUUGGCAGGAGAACAGAGCGACUGUGCACUGCGGAUUGCGGUGGGGGUGGGGGUGCAGCAAGCUGGCAGAGGGCUGGGCUGAAGCCACAGUUUGUUUACCCUGAGAUGGAAAGGGUCCCUGCAGUCUCGGCAGCCAGCAUCUUGCCCAGGAGGGGAGAUUAGAGAGGAAGGCGGAGGCCCCGGGGGAGCCCUAGGGCAGUGGUGUGGGGUGAGGCAUCUGGGAGGUUCCCAGGUCUGGGUGCUGCCAGAGUCGGUGGGAGGGGCCUUCUGGCUGGGCCUGAAGCCACCAGGCAGCCUGGCCCCGAGAGGCAUGCCGGGCCUCAGAGGCAGGACAGAGAUCCACCUUUGUUCCUGCUGUCCAUGAAGCAGCUUUGGAGUUUCCAAACAGGAAUGGACCUGGGGUGGGGAGCAGGCGAGUUCUGUAGCUUCUUCCUCCACAGAGGACCUUAGAAGGCACCCAUGCUGUCAAUCAAAUAGACCUGGGACCUUGAGCAAGUCAUUCAACUUCUUUGAGCCUCAGAGACGAAUAUCUACUUCAGAGCUUUGUGUGAGGAUUCAACAAAGUAGUAACAGCAAAAACUUAUCUAUUGCUUACCACAAGGCAGACACUCUUCUAAGAGCUUUACAUACGUGAAGGCACUUAAUCUUCAAACGACUUCAUCAGGUGGGUGCUAUUAUUAUUCCCACUUUAUUAAUGAAGUAACUAAGGCACAGAAAGGGUAAGUAAUUAUCCAAGGUCACAGAGCUAGUGAGUAGCAAGGUUGGGUUUGAACUCAGUCGUGUGUCACUUAGGCCAUGUUCCCAGCCCUUACACAAACUGCCCUCACAGUGCAACAGAGUUCUUAGCACAGUGCUUGGCACAGAGCAAGCAUUUAAUAAACAUUGGCUCUCACCAUGACUUCCUGAAAGCAGUUCCAGCAGGGGACCCAGGCUCCUGACAUCCUCCCCAGGGACCCCACGGGGCCCUAGGGCUGAUUCUCUUCCAUCUUUGGUUCACACCACCUCGCUUCUCCUGGGAGCUGGAGCAGUUCCUCCACGGGAGCGAGAGCCACUGGUCUCCCCUGCUCCUUGCUCCUCGGUCCCCUCCUCCCACCUAAGGCAGA